rnacentral:rRNA from 1 species
UACAGAGGAGCCAAGCGUUGUCCGGAUUGACUGGGCGUAAAGCGCACGCAGGCGGAUGCGCGCGUGGGGUGUGAAAUCCGGCCGCUUAACGGCCAGGCGCCAUCCCAUACGGCGCGUCUGGAGUGAUGCAGAGGUCGGUGGAAUUGCCGGUGUAGUGGUGAAAUGCGUAGAGAUCGGCAGGAACACCCAGGGGGAAACCAGCCGACUGGGCAUCUACUGACGCUGAGGUGCGAGAGCGUGGGGAGCGAACAGG